CACGUAGGGGGCGAGCGUUGUCCGGAUUUAUUGGGCGUAAAGAGCUCGUAGGCGGUUUGUCGCGUCUGCUGUGAAAACUCGGGGCUUAACUCCGGGCCUGCAGUGGGUACGGGCAGACUAGAGUUCGGUAGGGGAGACUGGAAUUCCUGGUGUAGCGGUGAAAUGCGCAGAUAUCAGGAAGAACACCCGUGGCGAAGGCGGCUCUCUGGGACGGUACUGACGCUGAGACGCGAAAGCGUGGGGAGCGAACAGG
rnacentral:rRNA from 1 species